rnacentral:lncRNA from 1 species
CAAGACUAAAGGUACUUAUUUUCUUAAUAAACAUUAUAUAUUAUUAUCACUUAUUCUUCAUAAAUAGAACACUUUAUCGCUAUUUUGUGCAUUUUUCCUUUGAUCCUUUUUUGUAAUAAAUUUUCAUAUCAUGAUACUUGCUAGAGAUGGAAAACUAAGGAGGCAUGUGGCGUUGUAAACGAAGUUGACAACGUCGUUAUAGGUAAAAUAGCGAAAAACAGAUUAACAUUAGUCAUCUCAACUGGAUUGCUUUUCUCACUUUCGCCACACUGGUUCAAGCGAGAAAAUUAAUCUCGUUAAGAUGAUCAAUGAUAAUUUAUAAUUACUGUAAAUAAAUAUUGAAAUAUUUAAUAUUAGUUAUUUCAGUUAUUUUGUGAUAUCUACCACUUAAUUUUUUAAACCAGCAAAAGAAUGGGAAUUGUUUACUGAAGGUGAAAUUACUGUACAAUUAAAGCAAUAACAGCACUAAAAUCUUGAUCCUCAAAGCAAGAGUUUGUCUACAAAUGGAAAGAAAUAAGGUCUAAAAUGGACAGAAUAAGGGUUUGAACUUUAAAAACAAACAGCUACAUCAUACUACACACAUAAAGUUAUCAGGCAAUAAAAUAUACUAAAAUUAUUCCAUAUUUUUCAAUAUUGUGACAUAAUGAACAGUUAGUUGAGUUCAUGCAAAAUGAUUUCUGAAACAAUUUACAAAAAC